UGACCACGGUCCCAAACAUUAACACCUGUUCUGGCAACCACGCGCAAGGGACAGACAAAUUUAACAACCUGAGGGGUCUGUGAGCCUAGCACCACGGUGGUACGCCUUCGUUCACAAAUCCAAAAUCUGUAUUUGCCCUAAUUCAAUCCCUAUUCAUCGAAAUUCAACGAUUCCCUCCUUUUCAACGCCCCUUUCUUCAUCCAACCAAUCAACCAGAUAGAUCCAUCUUAAACCUCUCGAUUCAAACAAAGAAUUUGAGGGUUUUACCCUUUUUUUCCCCUUUAAUUUUUCGUAAUGGAUUCAAGCAGGCGAGCGGUGGAGUCGUACUGGAGAUCGCGGAUGAUUGAUGGAGCAACCUCGGAUGAAGACAAAGUAACGCCCGUUUAUAAGCUAGAAGAGAUCUGCGAGCUCUUGAGAUCGUCUCAUGUUAGUAUCGUUAAAGAGGUCUCUGAAUUUAUACUGAAACGACUCGAUCAUAAAAGCCCCAUCGUCAAACAAAAGGCUUUGCGGCUAAUAAAAUAUGCUGUGGGAAAGUCUGGUGUGGAGUUUAGGAGAGAAAUGCAGCGGAACUCUGCAGUGGUGCGUGAGUUAUUCCAUUACAGAGGGCAACCGAAUCCUUUGAAGGGGGAUGCACUCAAUAAGGCUGUUCGGGACACAGCUCAUGAGUCUAUUUCUGCUAUAUUUGCAGAGGAGAAUAAUGCUAGUAAGCCUCCUCCUGCAGACGACCUUAACAAACGAAUACAAGGAUUUGGGAACACAAACUUUGAAAUGCCAUCUGAUGAUAAGAAAUCAUUUCUAAGUGAGGUGGUUGGCAUUGGAAGUGCUUCCCUCAAGCAGGGAAUCAGUAGUUUCACUCAGGGCCAUUCACUUAGAAAGAAUGAUAAUGGGAACAACAAAAGCCCUACACUUCGAAGGUCUUUGACUAAAGAAAUUGACCAUUCUGAUAGGUAUGAACCUGUUACAUUGCAUACUGACACUCAAAGGGUUUCCGGUAAUUCUGCUAGUGGACCUUGGGGCCAGGAUUCAAUAGUAUUACAGACUGAAACAACAAAUGGGGAAUCCAACUCAAAUAAUGAGAGUAAAACUCGUGAAGAGAGAUUGUUGGAAACCAUUGUGACAUCUGGCGGCGUUCGUCUCCAACCUACUCGAGAUGCCAUUCAGGCUUUCCUUGUGGAGGCUGCAAAGCUUGAUGCUUUGGCUUUAAGUCAUGCCCUUGAAUCAAAGCUUCUAUCUCCAAUGUGGCAGGUUCGCAUGAAAGCUGUAUGUGUGCUUGAGUCCAUUUUGAGGAAAAAGGAAGAUGAGCAUUUCUUAGUUGUGGCUUCUUACUUUACCGAGAACAAAGAAGUUGUUUUGAGAUGUUCUGAGUCUCCCCAAGCUUCCCUCAGAGAAAAGGCUAACAAGGUAUUAGUCCUUUUGAACGGGGAACAACCUGGUGGUUUGGCAAGUACUUCAGAAAAGUUUUUGAAAGCUGAGACCACACCUGUUCAAAUGCCUGACCUGAUCGACACUGGUGAUCCAGAUGAUUACAAUGGACUAGAUAGUUCCACAAAAGAUCAAAAUGAUCAAAAUACUGCAGUACGGACAGCAACACCCCUUAUUGAUGACUUACUUGGAGAUGGUAUUGGUACUAAUCUCAGCACCAGUGAACUGAAAAAUGAUGAUGAUCCCUUUGCAGAUGUCUCAUUUCACACUACUGAGGGAAGAGAAAAUGUGGAUGAUCUCUUCUCUGGGAUGAGUGUAGAUGACAAGUCAGCUAUGAGUGAUAAUUGUGUGACUGCAAAUGAAAAAUCUGAACUAAUCGAUAUCUUUGGGACCAAUCCUGCAGCUCCAAUUGAGCCCGCAAAUAAAAAAACUGAUAUUAAUGAUUUGAUGGCUGGCUUGUCUAUGAAUGAGAAUCCACCUAGUUUGAAGCAGCAAGGAAUCUUUUCUGAGGCACACCAUGAAGAUAUAUUUGCCGAUGUCAACGCUCAUUCUAGCUAUCAAGCUUCUAAUGAUGCUUUGAGUGGUCUUCUUGGUUCCCAAGCCACUGGGAUGAAUUCAAACACAACGUUUCGUUUAGGGAACAUGCCAUUUGCCAUCCCUCCUGGAUUAAUGUUGAACCCAGCCUUAUCUCAGCCAAUGAAUUAUGGUGCUAUGGGGAGUUUCUUUGCUCAGCAGCAAUUGCUUGCAACAAUGUCCAACUUACAACACUUUGGGAAUCUUAAUGCACAAAAUGCUGGCUUCAAUAAUGUUUCCAGUGGAUCUAAUGGAGGGUCACCUCUCCCAGAUAUAUUCCAGUCAAAUUUUCCAAGUCAAACACCUAGUUCAAUGAUGAACAGUUCAAAGAAAGAGGAUACCAGAGCAUUUGACUUCAUUUCGGACCAUCUUGCAGCUGCUCGUGAUCCAAAGAGGACAGUGUAAGGUUAUUGUGCUUGAAUGGACCUGUCGUAGAAUCUCAAGGGCACUUCAAUGAUGGUCUUGACAUGUUGAUUAAAGAACAAUGUAAACAGCAUCAACAAGCGCAACUUAAAUGGUGAUCCCAUUUUUGUGUCUAGAAAUGAGAAGGAAAACAACAUGAAACUGGGCGAGAAUGAUGAUGCUAGCUUAGUUAAAACAACCGAGCCGAGAGUUGAUGAAACAAUAUUAGGCUUAGUUUGGAUGGGCGGUGUGUUUAGCUCCGGUGAGGUUAAAAACAGCGGUGGCGGUGUGAUUAGUUACUGUAGCGGUGAGAUUGGAUACUGUAGCGGUGAGAUUAGAAACAGCGGUGGAGUGUGUGUUUGGAUUCAAACGCUGCUGUAGCGGUGAGGUGAAAAUAGAAAAUGACCUUCAAGGACAUUAGAUUAAAAAUGAUAUAUAAUAGAAGUUUUUAAAAUUA